rnacentral:lncRNA from 1 species
AUUAUUGGAGAUUGUUUUGGUUAGAAGAUGGUUAUAGAUUUUUGAUUUACUUUAUCUUCUGGUUCAAAUAUGAUGCCCAGUGAUGGGAGAAUUGAAAACCUAAACAGUGGUAAGCGUGGUUGAUUUUUCAUUAGCCCGUACUUACCACAAGCACCACCUCUCUCUCUCACUACAACAAACAACAACCAAGCCUUAUCCCACUAUACGUGGGAUUGGCUGGAUGAAUCAUUGAACGCCAUUACGCUGGGUUUUGUGCCAAGUCUUCCGUUAUCUCUGUCUCUCAUACAUAUAAAUAUAUACAUACAUUCACACAUACAUACGUUGGUGGUGCAUGGUGGAGUACGAAGGCUUUUGAGGAACGCCACUAGCCGUGAACUGUAUAUGACUCGUUCAAAGGUGUGAGAUCUGAGGGCACGAACCUUUGAAGUAGUGAUGCUUGUCAAGUUAUUUUUCAAGGUUAGAGCACGAGCCUUUGGUGUAGUAAUGUUGUGCUAAUGAUGAGUUAUACUCUGUAUCUAGCCUUUCUUUUUCUUGAAUUAUUUUGGAUCAUUACCAUGUUCUCUGAUAUAGUUUUUUUGCUGCUUCUGAAAGGUUUAUUUGCCUAAUGAUGGAAAACUCAUUUAUGGAGCGGUUCUGUGGAUUGUUAUUAGGAGCCUUUUCUAUCAUUUUCCUAUACUAGUCGCCGUCAUCAUCAACACCACCAUUCUUCUCUCUCUCUCUCUCUCUCUCUCUCUUCUCUCUCUCUUCUCUCUCCCUCUCUGGCUUGUAUGGUUGAAGAUGUGAAGAGGUUCAUAGUGAUAAUCCACAGUUAACUAGCAAUGACCAGAUAUAGCUAUGAGAUCUGAAGGCUCUUCAGUUUUUUGCCUUUUUUUAUUUAAGAUAUGCUUGUUGAAUUUUAAAUUAUUUUUGUUCCCUUAGUUAUUUAUAUAGGUCAUUGCAGCAUUGUAGACAUUAUUUUAGUUUAACUGGAGCACUUUUGGCAUUGCAGUAUUUGAUUACUAUAAAUGUACUGUUACUUUUGUAUUGAUUUCAAAUUUUCUGUUAAUAGAAAACCAAAGAGCACUUUCGGCAUUGCAGUAUUUUUGUAUAUAAUGCGAGCUCCCUUCAGACUCAAACCUGCUUGUACAUUGUUACAUAUAAAGCUAAUAAACUGUCGUUUGGAAAAAAAUUCACUCUUUCAUUGUUACUGAGUGCUUUUAUUUCCUACAAAGCUAUUAUUGUAGAUUGUUUUUGUUGAAAGAUGGUUAUACAUUUUGAUUAACUUUAUCUUCUGGUUCAAAUAUGAUGCCCAGUGAUGGAAAGUUGAAAACCUAAAUAGUGGUAAGGGUGGUUGAUUCUUCAUUAUCCCGUACUAACCACAAGCACCACCUCUCUCUCUCUCUCUCUCUCUCUCUCUCUCUCUCUAAUAUAUAUACAUACAUACAUACACACACAUACGUUGGUGCUGCAUUGUGGAGUAUGAAGGCUUUUGAGGAACGCCAUUGCCCAUGAACUGGAAAUGACUUAUUGCUAUG